rnacentral:rRNA from 1 species
UCAGGAUGAACGCUAGCGACAGGCUAACACAUGCAAGGUCGAGGGGCAGCAUAAAAGUAGCAAUACUUGGUGGCGACCGGCGCACGGGUGAGUAACGCGUAUGCAACCUACCUAUCAGAGGGAUAACCCGGCGAAAGUCGGACUAAUACCGCAUAAAACAGGGGCACCGCAUGGUGAUAUUUGUUAAAGAAAUUCGCUGAUAGAUGGGCAUGCGUUCCAUUAGGUAGUUGGUGAGGUAACGGCUCACCAAGCCGACGAUGGAUAGGGGAACUGAGAGGUUGGUCCCCCACACUGGUACUGAGACACGGACCAGACUCCUACGGGAGGCAGCAGUGAGGAAUAUUGGUCAAUGGGCGGGAGCCUGAACCAGCCAAGUCGCGUGAAGGAAGAAGGAUCUAUGGUUCGUAAACUUCUUUUGCAGGGGAAUAAAGUGCAGGACGUGUCCUGUUUUGUAUGUACCCUGAGAAUAAGGAUCGGCUAACUCCGUGCCAGCCGCCGC